rnacentral:rRNA from 1 species
GACGAACGCUGGCGGCGUGCUUAACACAUGCAAGUCGAACGGUGAACCUCUGCGUUGGGGGUCAGUUGCGAAGGGGUAAGUAACACGUGGGCAACCUUCCCCCGCCUCUGGCUUAACUCCAAGAACUUGGAGCUAAUACCAAUACUUCACCGCUGCCCGCGCUGCAGGGGGUGGGAUGGAUUUGCGGCUGGGGAUGGGCCCGCGGCGUAUCAGCUUGUUGGUGGGGUAGUGGCCUACCAAGGCGACGACGGGUAGCCGGCCUGAGAGGGUGACCGGCCACACUGGGACUGAGAGACGGCCCAGACUCCUACGGGAGGCAGCAGUGGGGAAUAUUGCGCAAUGGGCGGAAGCCUGACGCAGCGACGCCGCGUGGGGGAUGACGGCCUUCGGGUUGUAAACCUCUUUCGGCAGGGACGAAGCGUGAGUGACGGUAACUGGAGAAGAAGCACCGGCUAACUACGUG